AGUAGGUAAUUUAAUUUGGCCCCGAUUGUAAUGCCAAGGCAGCUGCACUUUCUAGAGUGAACCUGCCGCACAAACGUUAGCACACGCCUUACUUUCAUGUUAUAGAAAAAACACAGGUCAGAAUCCCUGUGACUCUGCUUGGUGUCUUGCAUUCUUCCCCGUGAUGUAUCCAAAAUGUCCCACCAGAGGCUGUGGCUGCAGUACUGUCAUCUAGAGGGAAACAUAGAAGCAGCGCAGGCUGCAGAAGGCUCUGGGUCUGCCCCAAGCCCUGGGUGCAGCCACAGAGGGGUCUCUGGCCGUGUGCUGCUGGCCAGGAGGACAUGGCUCUUCCCAGCAUGUAGUGACAAACGUUCAUACCUUGGUGCAGGGAAGGACCAGACAGGGAACACAGGUGCAACCGGAAAGCCCAGUGGACUGAGUUCCACUAAAUAAUCUCUUCCUUCCGUGCACUUCCUUCCUCUGUUUCCAAGACACAGGCAAAGCUGGGGGGUCUAUCUUGGAUAUUUGCAGCCUACAGGCUGGCUGAGCUUUUCUCUUUAGCUUAGAAUGAUAGAAUAAUUUGGGUUGGAAGGGACCUCAAAGAUCAUCUAGUUCCUGCCAUGGGCAAGGACACCUCCCACUGGAUCCGGUUGCUCCAAGGUACAUCCAACCUGGCCUGGAACACCUCCAUGGAUGGGGCAGCCACAGCUUCCCUGGGCAACCUGAGCCAGGGCCUCUCCACACUCAUCAUGAAGAAAUUCCUCUUAAUAUCUAGCUUCUCACGGGUGAGUAACAGUCAAUGUUUUGCUCUGAAAGCAUCCCACGUGAACCGGCUCUUAUCAAAUUAAACUAAACAGCCUCUGUUGUAUUGCUUUAGUUUUAUUACUGUUAUUUAUUAAGACCAAGCUGUAUUGGGUUGUGUUUAUUUUUAAGCCUCAGCAUUCAUGGCAAGGACUGCAUGUUGGCUCACAUGUUAAUACGAGCAUCUCGUACAUCUUAUGUAUGUUGGCUUUCACAUUAAUACGGAUACAAAUGUUGAGUCAUCCUGGGUAAAACCCACCACCCCUAACUGAUCUUUUAUGCUGCUGUGCUUUGCUUCCACAAGGUGUUUUCACAGCAAACUGAGAAAAUCAGCCCAGACCUCACCUAACUAAAGUUAGGGAGCUGACUGUUUUUUCUUGCUUCUGUAUGAACUGUUAUAUUGGAGUGGUUUGUUGUGUGUUAGGAAAAAAAAGUAAUUUCCAAAUUGUGGCCGUCAAAUCUGAAUCUCCGAUGGGUCCCCAGCCCUCUGCCUCAAAGCCCUCUGCUGUGGUUUGCUCAGCUCGAGCUUCUGAGAUCCAAAAAUAAUCCAUCUACUGAGACUAAAUGGUUGGAUGGGCCACAUUAAUGUGUUUUAAAUGCUGACAUGGCAAUGUUGCAUCUAUUUCAUCCUCUGUGUUCUCUUUAUUUCCUAAGUAAAUGCAGAGAGUGCUAUUUAUUGUCUCAUCUGGAAAGAGAAGAAAACUAAAGUUAAUUUUUCACUUACCUGAAAUUGCGUGGGAUUUGGGGAGCUCACUGAGUAGCAAACAUUUAGAGGUUUCCAUAUCAAGCCACAACUUUCUCCAAUUCAAUUCUGUAAGUUAAAAUUUUUUAGUUGCUAUUUUCAAAGAUUUAUUUCAUCUGUCAGUGGCUGCUCAGCAUCCUGCGGGAGGAAAUCUUAAGACAUCUAUCUGUAGAUGCAGUUCCUUUUACAUGGGGCAAAAUAACGACCUGUGAGCAAGCCAGUAUUUAAUUAUAUGAUUUAAUGGCAUCAAAAUUUAGUUAUAGCUCCCUUUAACAAAGUAGAUUUGCUGUCUUGUAUAGAAUCAUGGAGUGGUUUGGGUUGGAAAGGACCCUAAAGCUCAUCCAGUCCCAACCCCCCUGCCAUGAGCAGGGACACCUCCCACUGGAUCAGGGGCUCCAAGCCCCAUCCAACCUGGCCUUGAACCCCUCCAGGGAUGGGGCAGCCACCACUGCUCUGGGCAACCUGGGCCAGGGCCUCUCCACCCCCACAGCAAAACAUUUCUUCCCGAGAUCUCGUCUCAAUCUGCCCUUUUUCAGCUGAAAACUAUUCCUCUUGUCCUAUCCCUGCCCUCCCUGAUCAAGAGCCCCUCUCUAGCUUUUAUGAUAGCUCUAAAAUCAGAUAACUCCUCACCUUACGGCUGCCGGUUCCAUUUGCGAGAGGAGCCAAGAGCCUUGCCCGUUUCCUGCAGUAAUGCCCUUUGGUUUCUGCUCAGAUGUUAUUCGUUGGAAGGACAUUUUGAGAAAUGGCUGAACUUGAUGCAUUGUUUAAAUCACUCCUUUUUAUGGUUUCCCUUCAACAAAGGGAUUGCUGUGGCUGUUUCGGACAGUAUGACAAAGCACUGAAUGCGUGGGGAAAGAGUAUGAGAAGCAAGGAGAACUUAGAGGUCUUGUUCAUGGCAUCCCCCGGUAGUUGUGCCUGCUCGGAGAUGCUGGGGGUGCGAUGCUGGACCCCCUGCCUUCAGCACCUGCCAACAGACCCAUCCUUCAUGAAUUUGUCUCUAUCUUCUUUAGCCCUUGUAGGUUUUUCACCUUCACAGAGUCCUCUGUGAGUCUGCAAAUGGGCUGCAUUUAUCUCCAUAAAGAUGUCUCCUGCCAGGCAGAGGAGCCUGAGGCUAAUGUCCCUGAAAGAUCCUGAGUAAGUCCUGACUGAAAGCUGGAAGAAAUGCCCAGUCAUUGAUGAUAAUGCCAGCUCCUAAAUUUAGGCUGAAGGCUCAAGCUUUAGACACCUACAAUGGGAAGCUUUUGUGAUUUCCACAGUGAGAACGAACCAAGAAUUUCAUGGCUGAGAAGGUGUGAGGAAGAAAAAUUAAUUCUAGCAAGUAAUAAAAUGUGAUUGUAUGGCAUUGGAUUGGAAACAUCUCUGGUUCUCCAUCUCCUACCAAGUUUCUGUCCAACACUGAUGUGCCCGCCUAUCCCCAUCUGUAAAAGGGAUAAAAACGUUACUACUGACCUCAAAAUGACAGAGCUCCCAGCAGGUGAGCGCAGGCUGCCCAGCACGCUUUGUCUUUGUCCUCACAGCAGCUUUGGAGGACAAGACGGUGACAUGGUGACCCUCGUUUCCAGCCUGGCAUCUUAACUCUCGAGCUGCUGUCUCUCUCUGGUCAGUCCUUUCCUACAGCAUGAGUGUGGGCUGUUCAUGUCUGUAAAUGUUUUGAGAAAAGCAGAGUGAAGGUGACACUAGGAAAGAGGAACAUCUCCGUGACGCAGUUCUAUUUGAUGGUGCAUGUACUUCACCUCAGGAAUGCUGCCAAAUGGCAUUUUAUUCCUACCUUGGAGAUCAAUGCAGAUGAAAAAAAAAUUAAUUUUGAUGCUUUUUUGGCCAAAAAGUGCCUACAGGUGCAGGUUGACCAGGCUAGGACCAAGGCUUGGAGCAAAAAGCAUCCUUGGGGCUGCUGCUGCCUGUGCUCAGAAUCAGGGCUUUACCCAGUGGCUCUGGUAGGAGGGAAGGUGGAAGUUGUCCUUCCCCAGCCAGCAGCCCCAGGACUGAAUGAUGGAAUUCCAGUCUGUGCCCCAUUCCACAGCCCCAGGAAGGAACAGCUUUCUCUUAAAUAUUUAUGUUAACAGAGGGGUAUUUUUUUAAGCUGUCCCUCGUGAUUCCUCUUCAGCCUCUGAGCCAGGUGAGGCAGUCCUAGGAGCAGCUAUGGUUGGAGCAGGAUUUUUCUCCUAUUUUGAGUGCUUCAAAAACUUUCCCAUCUGUAUUUCUUUAACCUUGCUGAUGCUCUUCCAUGUUUCUUUCCCCAGCAAAUGGAAGGUCAUGAAUUCCCAGCCCUGCAGUUCAUUUUUCCAGGUUUGUCUCUCAGUCGUGGUGAGCAUAGACCUGUUCUCCUAACCUCACCUGCCGAUUCUCGGUUCUUUUGGCGUUCAUCUGAAGCCCUCUGAGGGCUGUCAAGGUUUUCCCAGCAUGCUUAACACACCCAGUUUCAAAGUGUCACCUUCCUCCUGCAUUGCCAUGGCCUGUUUGUGCAGAAUAGCUUGCCCUUGCACAUCCCUUGGACGCCCAGCGGAGGUUACUGUUGCUUAGCUACAAGACUCUAUAAUAAGAGCCCAAGCCAUUGCGGAGCAGGCACUGAAGCAUUUCAGAUACAACAAGACCCAAAGGAUGCUCAUCACUGUACAUGCAGAGUGUUACAGGUCCUGAAUGCUGAGGUUUUAGUGACUAUGACUGUUAGAUUUUAGCUUACGCAGCUUUGAUCAUGACCAGCUUGGCUUUUGCUGGAGCUGCAUUGUUUGAAGGCUGUGGCUGGAGACACUGAUUUUAAGGAACGUGUGUUCUUGGGGAAAUAUUGAGUAAAGGCCUUUAGAAGGAGGGGAGUGAGGUCAGAGAGCUGCUCUGUGGGGGUUUCAGCAAAGAAAAGCUCUGAUUGCCAGAGUUAAGCCCUGGUUGCUGGAGUUGGAUUACGUGAUGUGUUAUCAACGGGAAUGUAGAACCAGCCACACACGUGUAAGUAUUGAACCGUGUCUGCAACAGCGACGCCUUUCAGCUUCUCCCUGCCAGUUUGUGGAGGUGACUUGUUUCGUAUCUCUACAAACUGCGGUUGUGUUUUCUGCAGGCUCAGGAAAAUGAAUCCCACCCACUGCCCAGGGCACGUCUUUGAUUCCCACAGCAGCUCAACGUGAAAGAUGACAGCGCUGUGCUUCCAGCAGCAUUAAUUAAUAAUCUGGAGAUGUGAGCCCAGGGAGGCCCCUUGGUUGCCCACGAAAUCGGUCAACUCUGUUUUAUGGCAGAGGAACAACAUGAAUGAAACCUGACCAGCAAAGGAACCAGCCUCAUUACCAAGAUGUCACCAAGCUCCAAGAGGUGAGAGGAAAAGCAGCCUGAUUAGGUGAGUAACCGGGUAAGAAGGAAGCUCUAUACACAGCCAUAUACUCUGUAAGGGACCUUGACUGUCUAUGUUUCACUUUAGCAUCUUAUUUGGGGACCCUUUCAACCCCAGCUGUGAGAAAUGGAGUUAUCUGCUGGAGUGCAUUCUCUGCUGCAUUCUUGUCUCCUUGUGUCCCCAAGAGCAGGUGGCACCACAGUUUUGUAUCCUCCCUCUAUUUUUAAAUUAUUCUACUUCUCACACAAGGGCUGGAUUUUGACAUCAAAAGCGUUUAGUAAAUUAGAGUGUAGCUCCCUGAAGCCAAUUCUUGCAUCAUAACUCAUGUGGGUGCCUAUGGUAGCUUGGGGAAAAAAGACCAAAGAUAGCUAUGGAAGCCUUUUACUGUAUGAGCUGAUGAGGUACGAGUUUCUUGUCCAAAUCAGCGACAAACUGAACACAGCCUCUUAUCCAAAGCCAGGGCUAAGCAGGUACUAUUUUCAGUGAAAGGUUUUCUUUUGCCUUGUGGUAGAUAACGAUUCGAGGAGGCUUUUUGGCUCAUCUCCGUUGGGCACUAGAGGGAUCCUACAGUUUUCCAGCUGAUAGAAACAUCUCAGCCACGCCAAAGCAGGGGUUGCCUUUCCCUGUCACCUUCACCUGGGUGUUUCCAAGGGGAAAGGUGGUGGAAAACUGCUCAACCGGUUGUUGCACAUGCACAGAGACAGCAAAUAUGCCACAGGGAAAAUGUGUGACAGGGCCACAGCCACACUUUCCAUUGCUUCAUCCUCCUCCAUGGUACUCACAGCUCUUCCCGGCGUGAAUAAAUAGGAGCUGGCUUUGCCCUGAUGGCUCUGUCAGUUCGGCUGAUGCUGUGACAUUGGCACCAAGGCUUGAGGCACGCUGUGUUUUUAUGAAAUUAAAUGUUUCCCUCCCCUGCCUGAAGUGAAGCCAAACACCUGAGUUGCCAACAACUGCAGGUCGAUAGAUUGCCAGAGGAGCAGCAGUGGUUCGUUAUUAGAGCUGCGUGGAGAGAGGAGAAUGUUUUAACUCGAGUCCCUUCUCAUACAGCAUCUCCCACCACAAUUUCAAGUUAGUCUGUUCUAAAAGGGGCUAUAGACAAUGUCAUUCCUUUUUUCUUUUAGCAGGUAUGCAAAUAUUGUUACCAAUCUUGACAAUAUUCCAGAAGGGUUUGGUCAACUCCCUCAGACCCACGGUAUGAAUAUUGGGGGUGUCCCGUGCAGGGACAGGAGCUGGACUCGAUGGUCCUUGUGAGUCCCUUCCAACUCAGGACAUCCUAAGAUUCUAUGAAAUAUCUUCCAGUACCUGAAGGGGCUACAAGAAAGCUGGGGAGGGACUGUUCACAAAGGCUUGGAGUGAUAGGGUGAGGGCUGAUGGGUAUAAACCGGAGGUGGCAGAGUUAGACUGGACAUAAGGAAGAAUAUCUUCAUGAUGAGGGUGGGGAGGCCCUGGCCCAGGUUGCCCAGGGAAGCUGUGGCUGU